ensembl:lncRNA
UGUGCUGUUUGUACAAAUGUACAUUGUGCUUGUACUGUACAAAUGCCCCUGUUUAGCAUAAAUUAACAAUAUUUUGAAUAUAAAGAAUCAGACGUGAAAGAUUCUGUGUGUAUGUACACGUUAAACAAGCAUGUUUGACUUCAAGGCUUCAUUUAGCAUUACAAGAUGACCACUUUAUUGACAGGUGACAAAGCUGUGAGAUAUACAGGUAGUCCUAAGAGUGCUAACAAAUCUUCUGUGAACUAUCUAAAAUAACACAAGGAUAAAGGUCUUCCUAUAAGAUAUUUCUUUGCGGUCUGUGAGGAAUAUGUUGUUUUCAACUUUAGUUCCUGAGGUGAAUUUCAGGCUGUGGCACCUGUAGGUGAAAUAUUUACAGAUCAGUUAAUAUAGAUGGAUGCAGUCAGAGAAGAUGAACUGCGAUUAAAAUACUGUGAUUAAAAAUACUGUUAUGUUUGGUAUUUCAGCUGGCUAUGGAUGCGUAUGGAAAAAAAAGGUGAUGCAGGCUAAAAUGUACUUCUACUGCAGGUUGUUGUAUACAAUUACAGGCCUUUAUCCUGACUUUUUCAUAGAAUCAUAGAAUGGCCUGGGUUGAAAAGGACCACAAUGAUCAUCGAGUUUCAACCCCCUGCUAUGUGCAGGGUCACCAACCACCAGACCAGGCUGCCCAGAGCCACAUCCAGCCUGGCCUUGAAUCCCUCCAGGGAUGGGGCAUCCACAACCUCCUUGGGCAACCUGUUCCAGUGCGUCACCACCCUCUGGGUGAGAUUGUCCCCUCCAGCCUGUAUGUCUUACCUAAUCUGUCAAAUCUCCUCGUAGAGAGUAGGACCUCUGUCACUGCAUUUCAGAACAAGGCACUCUAUAACUGGGCAAAUACCGGUGCAAAAACGUGAAUCUUUUUUUACCUGUUGCAUCCACUUUAGCAAUCUCUACUGGCUUCAAAAUAUGCAUGUAAUCCUAUACUGAAUAAUCUCUUUUCAUAUAGCCUGUGCUAAUCUUAACACUAUGAUGUCAUCCAAAAUCCACAGUAUUGGUGAAACAUGUUUUAAUAUUCCAGCUCUUUUGAUCAUCCCUCGUAAAUCAAUCCCUCAAUCUCUUUAAUUAUUUUAAUUGCUCUUCUUUAAAUUCCCCUUGAGUGUAAUUUUCUAAUAGGAAGAUUUCCCAAAAUAUCCCAGGCAUGACUUAGUUAAGUAGUAGGCAAAGAGUAGUCAUGCCAAAGGAACGGAAGAGAAAAAUCUGUUAGUUUCUUCCUCAGUGAUUCACUUCACUUGGAGGGGCAUCUGUGGGCUUUCUGAUAUGUCUGCUCUGUAAGACCACAUAUAAUUUACUGUCUGCUUUCACUCCUACAGGUCAAUACUGCAGAUUUCUUCCUUUUGCUGAAUGUUUUCCUGUGGCUAUACCAAGAUUUCCAAGAUCUCGUUUCUGCAGAUUCCUGCAAGAGAGGAGCCAAGAGCUGUAACGUUCGUAGUGCCUGACAACAUUAAUCAUCGAUCCUAUUGCGAACUGCUUCUGGGUGGGAUGUUUCUGGGUUUGUAACUACAUAUGGCUCCUAUCAUUUGCGGCUUCCGCAAGCAAUUCUAGUUAUCCUUCAUUAAAAAGACUUUAAAUAAAAGGUUUUAAAGAUUCUCCAGCGCUAGCGAAGCCAUGGGAAGGCAGCAACCUCUCUGCUCGGUAAGGGCAGGGGUGAGGAGCAGCUCCGUGGCCCCAACGCUGGGGCUGCCCUUGCUGUUGGUAGCUGCUCCAUGGCCCCGGCGCUAGGAGACCGUCCAGGAAUUUCGUUGCAGGGGACCGAAUCUUAAAGGAAACGGGGGUUGUUUUUGUUUUUUUUU